AGCCGCUGCCCUUCCUGGGCGUUUCCUCCCUGAACUUGGCCGCUCUUCGGAGCGGCCAUUUUUUUGCGCCGA
rnacentral:sRNA from 1 species